rnacentral:rRNA from 1 species
CCUACGGGUGGCAGCAGUGAGGAAUAUUGGUCAAUGGCCGCAGGGCUGAACCAGCCAAGUCGCGUGAGGGAUGACGGUCCUAUGGAUUGUAAACCUCUUUUGUCAGGGAGCAAAGGGCGCCACGUGUGGCGUUUUGCGAGUACCUGAAGAAAAAGCAUCGGCUAACUCCGUGCCAGCAGCCGCGGUAAUACGGAGGAUGCGAGCGUUAUCCGGAUUUAUUGGGGUUAAGGGGUGCGCAGGCGGACUGUAAAGUCAGCGGGAAAAUCUCCGGGCUCCACCCCGUCGUGCCGUUGAAACUGGCGUUCUUGAGUGCGCGUGCCGUAUGCGGAAUGCGUGGUGUAGCGGU